rnacentral:rRNA from 1 species
UGGCUAAUUGCUUACCCAUGCAAUCGUACGGUGAAGAGGAGCUUGCUCCUUGGAUCAGUGGCGAACGGGUGAGUAACACGUGAGCAAUCUGCCCUUGACUCUGGGAUAACUGCGGGAAACUGUAGCUAAUACCGGAUAUUACCUUGGAAGGCAUCUUCUGGGGUGGAAAGAAUUUUGGUCAAGGAUGAGCUCGCGGCCUAUCAGCUAGUUGGUGAGGUAAUGGCUCACCAAGGCGACGACGGGUAGCCGGCCUGAGAGGGUGACCGGCCACACUGGGACUGAGACACGGCCCAGACUCCUACGGGAGGCAGCAGUGGGGAAUAUUGCACAAUGGGCGCAAGCCUGAUGCAGCAACGCCGCGUGAGGGACGACGGCCUUCGGGUUGUAAACCUCUUUUAGUAGGGAAGAAGCGACUGGGUUUUCCUGGGAGUGACGGUACCUGCAGAAAAAGCACCGGCUAACUACGUGCCAGCAGCCGCGGUAAUACGUAGGGUGCAAGCGUUGUCCGGAAUUAUUGGGCGUAAAGAGCUCGUAGGCGGUUUGUCGCGUCUGCUGUGAAAACCCGAGGCUCAACCUCGGGCCUGCAGUGGGUACGGGCAGACUAGAGUGCGGUAGGGGAGAUUGGAAUUCCUGGUGUAGCGGUGGAAUGCGCAGAUAUCAGGAGGAACACCAAUGGCGAAGGCAGAUCUCUGGGCCGUAACUGACGCUGAGGAGCGAAAGCAUGGGGAGCGAACAGGAUUAGAUACCCUGGUAGUCCAUGCCGUAAACGUUGGGAACUAGAUGUGGGGACCAUUCCACGGUCUCCGUGUCGCAGCUAACGCAUUAAGUUCCCCGCCUGGGGAGUACGGCCGCAAGGCUAAAACUCAAAGGAAUUGACGGGGGCCCGCACAAGCGGCGGAGCAUGCGGAUUAAUUCGAUGCAACGCGAAGAACCUUACCAAGGCUUGACAUAUACCGGUAACGCCUGGAAACAGGUGCCCCGCAAGGUCGGUAUACAGGUGGUGCAUGGUUGUCGUCAGCUCGUGUCGUGAGAUGUUGGGUUAAGUCCCGCAACGAGCGCAACCCUCGUCCUAUGUUGCCAGCACGUAAUGGUGGGAACUCAUGGGAUACUGCCGGGGUCAACUCGGAGGAAGGUGGGGAUGACGUCAAAUCAUCAUGCCCCUUAUGUCUUGGGCUUCACGCAUGCUACAAUGGCCGGUACAAAGGGCUGCGAUACCGCAAGGUGGAGCGAAUCCCAAAAAGCCGGUCUCAGUUCGGAUUGAGGUCUGCAACUCGACCUCAUGAAGUCGGAGUCGCUAGUAAUCGCAGAUCAGCAACGCUGCGGUGAAUACGUUCCCGGGCCUUGUACACACCGCCCGUCAAGUCAUGAAAGUCGGUAACACCCGAAGCCAGUGGCCGAACCCGUAAGGGACGGAGCUUUCGAAAGGGGGAA